UACGAAGGGGGCUAGCGUUGUUCGGAUUUACUGGGCGCAAAGCGCACGUAGGCGGAUCGUUAAGUGAGGGGUGAAAUCCCAGGGCUCAACCCUGGAACUGCCUUUCAUACUGGCGAUCUUGAGUCCGGAAGAGGUGAGUGGAACUCCUAGUGUAGAGGUGGAAUUCGUAGAUAUUAGGAAGAACACCAGUGGCGAAGGCGGCUCACUGGUCCGGUACUGACGCUGAGGUGCGAAAGCGUGGGGAGCAAACAGG
rnacentral:rRNA from 1 species